GCGCUCAUUGGGCAGCGCCCGCAGGUUGUUACAAAACCAGGCGGUUUUGUAACGCGCCGACCGCGGCCCCCGGCCCGCUGAGGGGCCGCCCGCCCGCCGCGGCCCACGGCAGCCGCCGCCGCACCGAGCCCCGGCCGAGGUCCGGCAGCGGGUGGGGGGAGCCGGCCGCGUCCCCCGGCGUGGCGGCGGCGGCGGGGGGUGGGGUGGUUCCCGGCGCCCGGCCCGGGGAGGGGCGCCCUGUCAGCGUUGGGCGGGCAGGCCGCGCCGCUGUGGCGGUCCGUGGGGCGCGGAGCAGCUCGGCGGGGCUGCCGGCCGGGAGCUAGCCCCGCACCCCCGCUCCGCCCCGCCGGCCCGGCCCGGGCACCUCCGCGGGGCCCUGCGCCUGGCACCGGCUGGGGGGCGCCUCCCGCCGGGCCGCCCGCUUACGCGCGCUGGGAAGUCGGGUCUGACCCGCGGUGACACGGCGGCGAGAGAUCCCGCCUUCGGUGUUUCGGUGCUCACCGUAAUACUAAAGAAAAAACAGUUCAAAGCGGCUUUGAAAAAAAGAAUGCCCUUUCCUGCGAGAACUGGGCUUUUAAAAGCUGCGGUCAGGCAGGCAGUCGCUCUCUUUAAGCGAAACCUACGCACUAGUGAAGCUAUUUCCAUGUUGGCUAAUCACGCUUUCAGGACAAGCGAUGGGAACAUUAGAAGGAAAAUGUCAUGUUUAUUUGAUCAUGUGGUGUGGCAGAUUGCAUAGAUACACCUGUCCGUGCCAGAUUCCAGAUAAAACAGCACAUGCCCUUCGGUGUAUGUUUGUUUUAUUUAAGGCCAGCUGUGCUGACUGCUUAGACCUGCACCUUCCUACCAGUUUUGAUUAUACGAAAGGAUUGUGCUAGUUGUGUAACUGUGCUAAACGUAGUCUAGGGAGAAAAUCACCUAUGCUGCCAUAGAGUAGAAGAGGUCGUUCUAAUAGUUGUCUGAUUAUAUAUUUUUUUUUUUGCACUUCUACGCAGAUCUACAGUUACAGUUGCUAGAAAUGCCCAAUAUACAUAUACAUACGUUUUCAAAUACUGCAAAAAUAUGAGGCACUUUUCACACUGUCUUAAAAUCCACUGCAGAAUUUGAAAUUUCUGAGGAUAUACUAUUACUGAUACUAAUGGCCUCCUCACAAAGCUGAAGAGAGGGGAUGAAAGAAUUAAUUUCCCGUUUCUUUCUUACAGAAGUGUCUGGACUCCCCAGCUCAGACUGUGUGAGCUAAGCAGGUAUUAAGGGACAAGCCCUGCCUAUGGAGUUUGAAUGGACAGGACAAAGGAUGGAAGGAAGGAGAGAUUUAAGACAAAGGAUUUGAGGUUAAUAAAAUUCAGUUAAUUCAACUAAAUCAUCUGGGUGAAAAAGGAAAAGGAGAGUGGGAAGAAACAGAAAUAACAGCUACAUAGUACAUUUUCUAUAUUGCCUGAUGUGAAAAAGGAAGCACUCCAGAAUGUUAACCGAUAGCCGCUGUGGUAAAGUAAGAGUGUCAUGCAUUGGAAGGAAAGAUAAAGAGGUUGCGAAAGGCUGUGGGGCCUACAGAAUUCUCAAGCAACAAAGUCCAGAUAUCCUGCUUGUCCAAACUUGCAAAAGAAAGGAAUUGAGCCUCAAAGCAAGAGACCUGGCAGCAACCUCAAGAACUGAGAGGACUAGGUACGGUCUAUACAUGGAAGGCAAAAGAUUUUUAAAUAUACAGAACAUUUUCAACUGCAGGAGACUAAUGGAAUUUCCUUUACCACUGCAAGCCCAAGAAGCCACAUGGAUGGAAAUCUAUCAUCUGUUGAGACGGAGAACCACAUCUGAGCAUAGGCACAGACUGGGUGACCCAGGUUAACACUAGUGCAAUGCACAAAUGCACAUGCUCACCUGAGUACCGACAGUGGUCUAGCUAGUCCCAGGCUGCUCUGCCAAGCACUGCCUAAUUUACUUCUUUGACUACAUUGAAGACACGCAGUUCUUUGACAGAGUCCCUUGUCAUCCUUCUGCCUACUGUAGCACAGAUAUCAAUUUUGCAAGAGGAAUCUAACAUCUGAUUUGCAUUUUCCAUAUGCAUCAGAAAUGCACAAAAAGGCAUCAUGUCCUUUUCACUUCUGACAUAUAUACAAGACUCAAAAUGCUGCAAUUCCCACUGCUUUUUAUAAAAAUUUUCAUUGUCAGUAGUCACACAGUCACACUGCAAUUAAAAACCUAAACCAAAUGUGUAACUUCUCCCUGUGGCAUUCACAUUUUAAAAUUGUUCAUAACAGAAUUAUCUUUUGGAUUUACCAUCUGACAUAAGCCCUGUUAGCAGGACAUUCUGAACUUGUCCAAAUGAAAGGAAACUGAAAUGCUGCGGACUAUAUUUGCUUGCAUAUGGUACCUUGAGCCAAAACACAGGUUUAUCCCAAAGACCUGCUAACUGUAGGAAUACCAUUCAUCAGGUACAGCAAUCAUGUUUACAGCCAGAUCUUUGGCAUUCAGAUCUAAGCAGCAGCAAGGUGAUUCUAAGAGAAGCACGUUGUUUGCCAUCAGAUAGCUCCACUUCUGUGCAUACUGGACAGGCACACCAACACAUCUCCACUGCAGAAUAGCAAAAGGUCUUCCACAGACUUACAACCAAAAAAAAACCCCCAACCUAAAACCAAACCAAAAACAACCAGGAACAACAGCACCAAGACUUGACAUUAGAUACCAGGAAAUAAACCCCCAAACUGACACAUAAAGAAUAUAUACUAGUUUUAUUCUCAGAAGUGAAACUUGCCCUGUUGUAAAGGGUUAACCUGAAGUCCAUGGCAUCAUUUAAGUUCCAUGGAAGACCUCAGACGGAGCAUAUGGGAUGUUCUGAAGCUGGACUGCCCACAGAGGGGUGAAUUUGCAGUGACACCCGCAACACUUUGCAGUGUAGCACAGGAUUUGUGCCUUCCUCAAUGGCUGCCUUCUUGUCAGCCCUUGUAAAAGUGAAAUCAGUCCACCUCUUUCCACCCACAGUGCCUUGGUGCUUCCUCCAGACUACUACUAACGCAUGAACUGAAGCCAAAACCUUUAAGCGUUCAAAUGUAACAAUGCCUGCUGUGCACUGAAUUCCUGUAUGCACCACUAUGUUAUUUAUAGAAUAAACAGCAUUCCUUUCCAAAGGUUGAAAAUAUGGAAGAGUUCAUGCCAUCUUCUGGCAAGCCUUUAUGUACAGUGUCAUAAAUACUGCCACUGACUAAUUCUGACGUAAAAAGCAAAGAGUUUUACUUUCCUUCUAGCAGCAAGAACUGUACUGAAGAAAAAGAAUAAAACUACCCCUGCCAGAGAAGAGAAUGUUACCAUUCUCUACCAAAUGUAGGAGGCUUAGAAGCGUAUCAUACAUUAUAUAAACUACCCCAGUAAUUUUCCUGCCUUCAGGAGCCACCAUUGGGUCUGAAGGUUACAGUUGAUAACAAAACCAUCCAUACCAGAUAGCAAUGGUGCUUUUCAGUGAUUAAUAUUCCUCUAACAAAUGAGGCUUCAUUGGCAUUUCAUUAUAUAUUGUAUGUGGCUAUGCUGAACAUGAAGGAUUCCCAAGCAAACCAACCAAUGAUAAUACAUGGUUUACAAAAGCUUUAAUAUUUUAAACAGUAAUUCAACUUUCUAAAAAGAACUUCAA